UACGUAGGGGGCAAGCGUUGUCCGGAUUUAUUGGGCGUAAAGCGCGUGUAGGCGGCCAUGUAGGUCAGCUGUGAAAAACUCGAGGCUCAACCUCGAGACGUCGGUUGAAACCACCUGGCUAGAGUCCGGAAGAGGAGAGUGGAAUUCCUGGUGUAGCGGUGAAAUGCGCAGAUAUCAGGAAGAACACCCGUGGCGAAGGCGGCUCUCUGGGACGGUACUGACGCUGAGACGCGAAAAGCGUGGGGGAGCGAACAGG
rnacentral:rRNA from 1 species